UUUCUUUCAAAGGUCCCAUGAUUAGACCCCUAAAAGCCAUGGGCCAGCUGCAAGAGGUGCCUGCCACUGAGUGUCAGACAUAAAUAUGGAUUUACAGACAUGACUAGUGUCACCCUUUUAACCUAGGAAAGCUUUGCCAAAUGCUGCUUGUCUUUUGAACCCCGCAUUCAAAUAUGUAGUAAAACCAGGUAUCCUCAUCCUAAGUGUCACAUGACCCAAGAACAGUUUUCACUCAUUUUAAAUGUGCAACUUUGUGCUGUAAGUCUUUACGAACCUUAAAGUGAGUGAGAGACAGGGUCCUUUGGAAGUCACAUUCGUCAGUGGAUCAUGCACACUUUUGUAUGUUACAAAUCUGAUUAAAUCCCUGCCAGAAAUUAUUUCCUGCCCUGCCAAGAGCAACAUGGAGAAGUUCGAUACCUUGUUAGACUAGUCCAGUGUUCUUAGGACCUCACUAAAAGCUUUUCCCCCCCAUCUGGCUUGCCCUUUAUUUCACCUGAGACCUCAGACACAUGAGGAAUCAAGCCAUAACUUUGCGUCUGCUGAUCAUUCCCUACCAUGCCUUCACUAUGACUACAGAUUUCAAAGAUAAUUGUUUUACUUACAUUGUACACUUGAACUGUAACAGGGACCCAUAAUGUGAAAAACAGUCAUUGCUUCAUAUUGUGCUGCUGAUGGAAAGACGAAGUGCUUGCCGUGGUUUCGUUUUUUUGUUUUUGUUUCUUCUUCAGUCUUUCAUAAACUGAAGUUGUAAGCUCUGUGAGAGCAGGGACCAUAUCAUCCUCCACCUUGCAUUUAGGCACUCAAUAAAUAUUCGUGGAUAUGA
rnacentral:lncRNA from 1 species